rnacentral:rRNA from 1 species
AGCGAACGCUGGCGGCAGGCCUAACACAUGCAAGUCGAACGAACCUUUCGGGGUUAGUGGCGGACGGGUGAGUAACACGUGGGAACGUGUCUUUAGGUUCGGAAUAACUCAGGGAAACUUGUGCUAAUACCGAAUGUGCCCUUCGGGGGAAAGAUUUAUCGCCUUUAGAGCGGCCCGCGUCUGAUUAGCUAGUUGGUUGAGGUAAUGGCUCACCAAGGCGACGAUCAGUAGCUGGUCUGAGAGGAUGAUCAGCCACAUUGGGACUGAGACACGGCCCAAACUCCUACGGGAGGCAGCAGUGGGGAAUCUUGCGCAAUGGGCGAAAGCCUGACGCAGCCAUGCCGCGUGAAUGAUGAAGGUCUUAGGAUUGUAAAAUUCUUUCACCGGGGACGAUAAUGACGGUACCCGGAGAAGAAGCCCCGGCUAACUUCGUGC